GUAAGAUUUGGCUCAAUUAUUUGCUUCCUUGUAUUUUAGUACAAUGGUUUAGUUAGCUUGGUGAGGAUAUCACCACAUAUCAUUUAAAAAUGUUUUUGAAAGUGCGUUUAUACAAGAUUCCAUUUGAAGGAACCGGUGCGCCAGAUAGGCCCGUUCCAUACGAAUUGGUUGAUAAUACUGUUAGAGAUAAUGGCGAUGAUAAAGACAUACUCGGAUUUAUCGUUCUUUGACAAGUACGAUAUUUUACUCGUUUCCUGUCUAUAUAGUCACGCGUCAUGAAAAUUUCCAUUUUCAGAAGUGCAGCUGAACAACGAUUUUUUAAAACACCGACAAAACGAUGGUGAAAAGACAAUGCAAAGUAUUUCAUACAAAUCAAUUUUCUAGAAACAAUGAAACUGCAACUAUAUCAGUCAACUAAUAUUGUAAUAACCUUGUUUUAGUUUGUAAUUGGUUAUGAUAAACCUCAAUUAGGAAAGCUCAUAAAUAAUGUAUUGUGCUGACAUGUCUGCAAAACACUGUACAUUUUUGUGGCCAAGUUUGUACAACCAACCCAUUCUGUGGCAGUGUAGCAGAUCAGCAACGAUCACCAAACGAAGUGGAAAACAAAGUUUUGAAAAUCUUCGCCACCUAAAGAUUUGAAAGAUGUCAGUCAAGCACAAGUGAAGACAUGAAUAUUCAAAAGUGAACGUAUGAAUAGUCAACCCCCCCCCCGCCCAAUUAACGUUCUACUUACGGUUUCGUGCACUCCUCAGCAUUUUUACGGGAUUGGCGCAAAGGCGAUACUCUAGAGGAUGCAUUUGUCACAAAGAUUUUAAAUACAGUUAAAUCAUCAUGAUUUUACACUUUUCUUGCACACAUAUUACUGUAAUUUUGGUCGAAGACAUUACAAAUUUACAAUAUCGCCAUUUUUGUCAUGAUGGAAUGAAAAGAGGUUACCACCAAAGUCUAGCGUUGUGAUGUAGAAAAGAAAUGAAGAGAGAGAGGUGAUUCGGGCAGUUACAGUUUGAUAUAGAAAAGAAAUGAAGACGGAGAUGAGACUCGGGUAGUUACAGUUUGAUGUAGAAAAGAAAUGACGAAGGAGAUGAGAUUCGGCCAGUUACAGUUUGAUGUAGAAAAGAAAUGACGAAGGAGAUGAGAUUCGGGCAGUUACAGUUUGAUGUAGAAAAGAAAUGAAGACGGAGAUGAGACUCGGGUAGUUACAGUUUGAUGUAGAAAAGAAAUGACGAAGGAGAGGAGAUUUGGCCAGUUACAGUUUGAUGUAGAAAAGAAAUGACGAAGGAGAUGAGAUUCGGCCAGUUACAGUUUGAUGUAGAAAAGAAAUGACGAAGGAGACGAGAUUCGGCCACUUACAGUUUGAUGUAGAAAAGAAAUGACGAAGGAGAGGAGAUUCGGGCAGUUACAGUUUGAUGUAGAAAAGAAAUGACGAAGGAGAGGAGAUCGGCCAGUUACAGUUUGAUGUAGAAAGAAAUGACGAAGGAGACGAGAUUCGGCCAGUUACAGUUUGAUGUAGAAAAGAAAUGACGAAGGAGAGGAGAUUCGGGCAGUUACAGUUUGAUGUAGAAAAAAUGAAGAAGGAGAUGAGAUUCGGGCAGUUACAGUUUGAUGUAGAAAAGAAAUGACGAAGGAGACGAGAUUCGGCCAGUUACAGUUUGAUGCAGAAAAGAAAUGACGAAGGAGAUGAGAUUCGGGCAGUUACAGUUUGAUGUAGAAAAGAAAUGAAGAAGGAGAUGAGAUUCUGGCAGUUACAGUUUGAUGUAGAAAAGAAAUGACGAAGGAGAUGAGAUUCUGGCAGUUACAGUUUGAUGUAGAUAGCUACUUGAUAAUUGGAUUGCUUAACAUUUCCUUUAACAAUAUCCUAAUGCUAAUCUUAGCUUGUCGCCUUGUUUUUAUAGGUGUAAUUCAAGCACCAUCGCUACUAUACAAAGGAAGUCCAGUCAUAAAAGAAACAAGAAAUGUUGUGAGAGAGACGAUUUAGAGCCGCUAAUUUGAAAUUCAAAAUAACUUUUUACCCGCGAUAAUGCCAUUGUUAUAAAUCUCCAAGCAAUAUGAUCUUACCAAGCAGGGGCCGGUUGCAUGCAUGAAGUCUGGAUAACUUUAUUCAUUGGAAAGCAAAAAUUUUCAAAUUUGUAAAAAAGGUGUUUAUACUAUUCUUGCGACAAAGAAAUUUCGUAUCUUCGAAACAAUGUUUUAUUCCAGUGAUUGUUCAGUUCGAAUCUUAUACUUUUAGCUUUUUAUAUAAGGUUUUUUAAAAGUUUAAAAAAACUUGCAAUGCGAUGGAUAACCCUAUCCAGGCUUCGUGACCCCGGCCCCAGUAUAAUUAUAAUCUUACUUAUAAUUUUAAUAUAUUUUCCCUAACGUUGUACUCUCCAAUACACCUCGACCCUUAACCGUAAAAGUCACUAUAAGCCUAGCUUUUAUUUCUUUGUGAAAUACCAGCAAUAAAGCUUCAAAGCUAAAAGUAACAAUUACUCGCACCAAUAUGCUGAAGCACCUAUCAAAGCCUGACUUCCAGUUAAACCAAACCAUGAGUUAUUACGCUCAUAAAGUAAGAAUUGAGAAAGUGCACAUGAAUACUUCAAUAAAACCGGUGUAAAAUUCAUAUAAUUCUUUAUCACAGUAAAUAGAUGUCAUUUAAUAAAUAACUGUUUGAUUAAUCAAAUGAAUAAGCACAGAUUAAAAACUACUCAGAUGUAGCAGCAAAGCCAAGCCCGUUUAUAUUUCUACGAUGCAAAUAAAUUCG